ensembl:lncRNA
UAACUUAAAACCGAUCAAAAUUGUUCUUUUUUUUUUUUUUUUUUUUUUUUUUUUUUUACUUUUUUUUGUUGGGCUUGGUCCGACCCUGAAUCUGCAAGAAUUAUGUUUCUAGCCCCUUCCUAGGCCGAGAAAAUAGCUUAAAACCAAUUAGGCUUGGUCCGACCCUGAAUCUGCAAGAAUUAUGUUUCUAGCCCCUUCCUAGGCCGAGAAAAUAACUUAAAACCGAUCCAAAUUAAUUGACGUAUGUUUAGGUUAUUAAAAAUAGAAGGGAGACAGGUAGAGGCUUCAAAACAUUUUUGGAGAGUGUUUU